rnacentral:rRNA from 1 species
CGCCUCUUGAGAAAUAUAAGAGGUCCAGCCUGCCCAGUGACCUAGUUCAACGGCCGCGGUAUCCUAACCGUGCGAAGGUAGCGUAAUCACUUGUUCUUUAAAUAAGGACUAGUAUGAAUGGCACCACGAGGGUUUAACUGUCUCCUUUUUCUAAUCAGUGAAACUAAUCUCCCCGUGAAGAAGCUGGGAUUUUUUUAUAAGACGAGAAGACCCUAUGGAGCUUUAAACUAUUUUACACCUGCUGCCCACAAACCAACUUCCAGAAAUUAACCCUAAAGCAUAGCACUUUGAUUAAUAGUUUUUGAUUGGGGUGAUCGCGGAAUAAAAAAUAACCUCCACGACGAAAGGAUUUUUCCUGAGCCAUAAGCCACAGCUUUAAGCACUAAUAUUAUUAACGGCUAUUGACCCAAUAAUUUUGAUCAACGAACCAAGUUACCCUAGGGAUAACAGCGCAAUCCACUUCAAGAGCUCCUAUCGACAAGUGGGUUUACGACCUCGAUGUUGGAUCAGGGUAUCCUAGUGGUGCAGCCGCUACUAACGGUUCGUUUGUUCAACGAUUAAAACCCU